CCUACGGGAGGCAGCAGUAGGGAAUCUUCCGCAGGUGGACGAAAGUCUGACGGAGCAACGCCGCGUGAGUGAUGAAGGUUUUCGGAUCGUAAAACUCUGUUGUUAGGGAAGAACAAGUACAAGAGUAACUGCUUGUACAUUGACGGUACCUAACCAGAAAGCCACGGCUAACUAAGUGCCAGCAGCCGCGGUAAUACGUAGGUGGCAAGCGUUGUCCGGAAUUAUUGGGCGUAAAGCGCGCGCAGGCGGUCCUUUAAGUCUGAUGUGAAAGCCAACGCCUCAACCGUGGAGGGUCAUUGGAAACUGGGAUACUUGAGUGCAGAAGAGAAGAGUGGAAUUCCACGUGUAGCGGUGAAAUGCGUAGAGAUGUGGAGGAACACCAGUGGCGAAGGGGACUCUUUGGUCUGUAACAGACGCUGAGGCGCGAAAGCGUGGGGAGCAAACAGGAUUAGAUACCCUGGUAGUCCACGCCGUAAACGAUGAGUGCUAAGUGUUAGAGGGUUUCCGCCCUUUAGUGCUGCAGCAUACGCAUUAAGCACUCCGCCUGGGGAGUACGGCCGCAAGGCUGAAACUUAAAGGAAUUGACGG
rnacentral:rRNA from 1 species